CGGCGCGCCUAACACAUAGCAAGUCGAACGGGCUUUAAAGAAGCUUGCUUUUUAAAGUCUAGUGGCGGACGGGUGAGUAACACGUGAGCAACCUGCCUUUCAGAGGGGAAUAACGAUUGGAAACGAUCGCUAAUACCGCAUAAUGCUGCGAGAGGACAUCCUCAUGCAGCCAAAGGAGUAAUCCGCUGAAAGAUGGGCUCGCGGCCGAUUAGAUAGUUGGUGAGGUAAUGGCUCACCAAGUCGACGAUCGGUAGCCGGACUGAGAGGUUGAUCGGCCACAUUGGGACUGAGACACGGCCCAGACUCCUACGGGAGGCAGCAGUGGGGGAUAUUGCACAAUGGAGGAAAAAACCUCUGAUGCAGCGACGCCGCGUGAGGGAAGACGGUCUUCGGAUUGUAAACCUCUGUCUUAGGGGAAGAAAAAUGACGGUACCCUAAGAGGAAGCUCCGGCUAACUACGUGCCAGCCGCAGC
rnacentral:rRNA from 1 species